UAAAAUCAGCUACUUACCCUUUUUGUCAGAUUUAAGAUACUGACAUCAAGCAAGUAGUGCAGUUGUCUCUUAAUUAAGUGUUGUAACUAUUCUAAUUCAGUGUCCUUUCAUCAGUCAUUUAUCAUCACUUUUACUGCUCGUACUAUUACUUCUUAUGCUAAUUGCCAACUGAAAUGCUCCUAAACUACAUAACUGCAUAAAUAUUUCCUGGGAGAAGAGUUCAGCAUUUCUCAUGCUCAUUGGAAAAAAAUUCUACAGGAAAACAUAUUCUGCCCAGAGCACGGGUUGCAAAAUCUGAAGUAAUGUGAUUUGUCUGUGGCCAGGACAGCUAAUCAUCUCCUCGUGGUGGAAUGGACAUGUUGGUUUCUGCAUGUUUCCUACAAAUGCUGAAUCAAGUGGACUUUGGAAGACAGGCACCGAAGUUACUGCUGACAAAAUAGCAAACGCCUCAGAGUACACAGGACCACCUUCCUGGGCAUCCUUUUCUCCACCAAGCUAUUUUCUUCCUGCUUUUAGUAAUAAUUGUUGAAAGGAUUUGAGCAGAGCACUUGGUAUCUGAGCAAAAUAUUGCACAUCCAACAGCAAUAACAAAGUAAGAAAAAAAAGUUUUAAUUAGUUUGGGUCAGAGCUAAGGCAACAGUUCAUGAAAGGGCACUGAACUUUAUACUUAUGACACUUAUUGAUCACUGAUCAUCCCCUCAGCGCUGACUUACAUACAAGUUAAAUACUGUUAAUUCACAGAUUACACCAGCAGUCCUUGAGAUAUCUUUCUGCGUGGAACUGAGCUUGCUUUUCUGCAGUAUCAUCUUGCCUCUCUCACUGAAAACAAUGACACCAGUGAGAACAUCUUUACUGAAAUAUUUAUAUGUGAUCAUGAGCAAAAAUUCUUUUCUUUUAUUGAUAAAAGGUGGUGGAUUGCUUUUUAACCAUCCCUCUCUUUUCACAAGUGAUUAAAAUACUGAACAUUCCCUUAGGCAAGUUGUAAAUGAAAG
rnacentral:lncRNA from 1 species